rnacentral:rRNA from 1 species
GUGGGAUAAGCGUAUGCUGACCUGCGAUUACUAGCGAUUCCUGCUUCAUGCAGGCGAGGUUGCAGCCUGCAAUCCGAACUGGGACUCUGUUUUUGGGGUUUGCUCCGGAUCGCUCCUUCGCGUCCCUCUAUUGAAAGCCAUUGUAGUACGUGUGUAGCCCAAGCCAUAAGGGGCAUGAUGACUUGACGUCAUCCCCGCCUUCCUCCGCAUUGUCUGCGGCAGUCUCUCCUGAGUCCCCACCCUUACGUGCUGGUAACAGAAGAUAGGGGUUGCGCUCGUUGCGGGACUUAACCCAACAUCUCACGACACGAGCUGACGACCCCGUGCACCACCUGUUUUCUUGUCCUCCGAAGAGGAAAAAGGCAUCUCUGCCUCGUUCAAUCAAUGUCAAGGCUUUGUAAGGUUUCUACGCGUCCCCCCGGAGAAAAAUUUUUUAUUGG